UACGUAGGGGGCAAGCGUUGUCCGGAUUUAUUGGGCGUAAAGGGUGCGUAGGUGGCGCCGUAAGUCGGGUGUGAAAUUUCGGAGCUCAACUCCGAAACUGCAUUCGAUACUGCGGUGCUUGAGGACUGGAGAGGAGACUGGAAUUCAUGGUGUAGCAGUGAAAUGCGUAGAGAUCAUGAGGAAGACCAGUGGCGAAGGCGGGUCUCUGGACAGUUCCUGACACUGAGGCACGAAGGCCAGGGGAGCAAACGGG
rnacentral:rRNA from 1 species